rnacentral:rRNA from 1 species
CUUUUAUGGAGAGUUUGAUCCUGGCUCAGGACGAACGCUGGCGGCGUGCCUAAUACAUGCAAGUCGAGCGGAGUGGUUUGAAAGCUUGCUUUCAAACUGCUUAGCGGCGGACGGGUGAGUAACACGUAGGCAACCUGCCUGCAGGACUGGGAUAACAUUCGGAAACGAAUGCUAAUACCGGAUAAUCGAUUUCCUCGCAUGGGGAGAUCGGGAAAGACGGAGCAAUCUGUCACCUGUGGAUGG